rnacentral:RNase_P_RNA from 1 species
GACGUUGGACAUAGAACGCUCUCUCGUAUCGCGCGCGAGAGGAAAGUCCGGACACCAUAGGGCAGCAGGCUGGCUAAUGGCCAGGCGGGGCGACCCGACGGAAUAGUGCAACAGAGAAUAGACAGCCCCAAGCGCGCUCAUGCGCAAAUCUCAAAUUUGAGAUUUGAAAUUAAGCGGAGCGUGGCGGGCGAUGGUGAAACGGUGAGAUAAAAGCUUCACCAGCGAGUCUAGUGAUAGGCUCGGCUAGGCAAACCCCCUGCGGUGCAAGACCAAAUAGGAAAGCAUUUGAGGGCUGCCCGUCCGAGCGCGUCAUCCGGUAAGGUUUGGCGCCGUGCUUUCGGGUAGGUCGCUUGAGCGGCGAAGCAAUUCGCAGCCUAGAUGAAUGAUCAUCUCCCGCCAGCAGGCGGAGACAGAAUCCGGCUUAUAGACUCACUCUGCU